rnacentral:rRNA from 1 species
UUAAAUAGAUUGAACGAAGAGUUUGAUCCUGGCUCAGGAUGAACGCUGACAGAAUGCUUAACACAUGCAAGUCUACUUGAUCCUUC